rnacentral:rRNA from 1 species
CAAGAUUAAGCCAUGCAUGCCUUGGAAGAUUGUGUUAUUACAAAAUCUGCGAAUGGCUCCGUAUACCUGUUAUUACCUGUGGUGUCCCCCACACAUCACGGAUACUGUUGGAAACCCUAACAUUAAUACGUUCCAGAACAUAUAAAUGAUAUGAUCACUUUGUUUCAAGCGAUCAUAGGGGCUCCUGCUUAUCCGGCAUACCGACCUGGGACCCAAAAGAGCGGCUGCGCUAAGUCGUGCUCCUUUGUCUCCUGCUGAUCACCUGGGCAUAAAUAUAAGCACCGAUUAAGCUGAUUUAUCAGUGGAGGCGGUGUUUGUAUUCCAGGUGUGAGGGAAUCAAGACAGAGAUCAGCUCGAUGUGGUUUAGCUCUUUCCCAGUGUUCGACCAAUGCAUGAUUUGGGUGGGAGAUAUCCUCGAUGAGGGCAUAUCAUAAUGACCUCACUAUCACGUUGGGUUUCAGUCCUAUCAACUUGAUGGUUGGACAUUGGCCAACCAUGGUUUUAACGGGUGCAGAGGAUUAGGGUUUGAUCCUGGAGAGGUAGCCUGAGAAAUAGCUCCCACUUCCAUGGAAGGCAGCAGGCGCGCAACGUUCCCAAUGGUUUAUUGACCGAGGACGUUAAGGAACAUAGCAAUACUUUGCCUAAUAGCAAAGCAAUUGAAAUGGGGGAGAUUUAAAUCACCCACCGAGUAACAAUUAGAGGACAA